UCUUAGCAACCGAUUUGGUCCUAGUCCUAUUCUUGAUUCCACCUAAAACAAUACAUGCAAGUUAAAUUUAACGUCACAGUGAGUAAUCCCGAACCAACCCUUAAAAGAAAAGGUUCACCCAAAAAGUAUCAGAUUUUACACCGUAAACCCACAACAUUUAGACACCCACAUCUGCAGUAUCUAACAUUAUACAAUAAGUAAAAACUUGAUAUAGUUAUAGAUUUUAGAGUUGGUAAAUUAUGUGCCAGCCACCGCGGUUAUACAUAAAACUCAAACCAAGAAAAACUUCGGUAAAAAAGUGAUAAGAGAUUACCACCAUUUUGAGAUAAACACUAACUCUAGCAUUAAUAAGCCUCCAUAGUAAACUAAUACCCAAACAAACUCUAUCUUAAAAUCCCAACCUUCAAACCUCUCUAUUCUCGAAACACCAAAGCUCAAAAAUAAACUGGGAUUAGAUACCCCAUUAUAUGAGCCGUAAAAAACCAAACUACUGAGA
rnacentral:rRNA from 1 species